ACUAACAUCAAUUUAGUGGUCUAAGGCGCUGCGUUUAGGUCGUUCUAAACAUCCUCCGCAGUCUUCACGGGCGUGGGUUCGAAUCCCACUCUUGUCAGCA